AGGUCAUUUCAAAGAGGGCUUUUAGGGCUGUAAAACCAAGAGCUCUUAACGCUGUGACCUGAGAUUGAAGUUCUCUAUGGGAUGCCACAGUCACUCAGCAGUAGUGCUGUGCUUUGCUGAGGAGAGACACAG
ensembl:snoRNA